UACAGAGGGUGCGAGCGUUAAUCGGAAUUACUGGGCGUAAAGCGCGCGUAGGCGGUUACUCAAGUCGGAUGUGAAAGCCCUCGGCUUAACUGAGGAAGUGCACCCGAAGCUGAGUAGCUAGAGUACUAAAGAGGGUCGCGGAAUUCCCGGUGUAGAGGUGAAAUUCGUAGAUAUCGGGAGGAACACCGGUGGCGAAGGCGGCGACCUGGGUAGAUACUGACGCUGAGGCGCGAAAGCGUGGGGAGCGAACAGG
rnacentral:rRNA from 1 species